rnacentral:sRNA from 1 species
CUUCGACGUGUCCUUUUCCUUAGCCAGAACAUUCUCGGCAGUUUCUAGUGUUAACGGAACUUGAACAAAAAGGGAAAGGAGUUAUUCAUAAAAUGGAUUUGGUUGAAUGGUCGAAAAAUCAUGUUUUUCUUUGUGUUCCCAACUGGGUUGGUUGGUAGAACCAUCGGAAAGGUCGUGCUGUAUAUGCUUUCACACGGGGAUGUUUGAACUUGCAGCAGAAUCCGGCAUGCUAUGUGGGUAGUGAAACUUCAUACCCAGUCAAAUUUGGGCAGCUGUUUAGUUUCUACUUUGCCACCACAGUCAUCCCUCUAGCAAGUUAACAGGGAAAAAUAAUACUUUACUUUCAGCUAAUAGAAAAUUCCAUCCCUUGAUUCCUUCCCGAUCUGGUUCUAGGUUUUUUUGGUGAACAACACAGGCAACGCGCCCCUAAUAUCUACUUCUACUUAGUUGAUAGCUUUGACCGAGUAACGGACUGACCGUUUGUCCCAUACUUUACAGUAGGGAUUUUCAUCCAACUACCAUGAGUAUGGAUUCCGAUGUGUAGUUUCAUCCUAUUUCAACUACUUGUGCAGAAGGUUCAGUUCACAUCUAACUAGAAUCAGUCUUAGGUUUGGAAUUUUUGCUUUUUGCUUGCGGACUGUUAUGUUUUUUCGGAGACAUUCAACUUGUAUUCUGAUGAACCCGAACAAAUUCUUCAUUCGCAUUUCACGAUAUCAUGGAAUGCUUGAUCAUCGUUUAAUGUAUUUAUAUUCGGGAAAUAGUUUUUGAAAGGUUUAUAUUGCUGUAUUUUCGAGUAUUACAA